rnacentral:rRNA from 1 species
UUCCUACGGGGGGCUGCAGUGAGGAAUUUUGCGCAAUGGGGGAAACCCUGACGCAGCAACGCCGCGUGAGUGAAGAAGGCCUUCGGGUCGUAAAGCUCUGUCAAGUGGGAAAAAAUCUUCAUCGUGAACAGCGCUGAAGACUGAUGGUACCACUAAAGGAAGCACCGGCUAACUCCGUGCCAGCAGCCGCGGUAAUACGGAGGGUGCUAGCGUUGUUCGGAAUUACUGGGCGUAAAGGGCGUGUAGGCGGUUUGGCAAGUCGGGCGUGAAAGCCCAGGGCUCAACCCGGGAAGUGCGUUUGAAACUGCCAUUCUGGAGUAUGGGAGAGGAGAGUGGAAUUCCCAGUGUAGAGGUGAAAUUCGUAGAUAUUGGGAGGAACACCCGUGGCGAAGGCGACUCUCUGGACCAAUACUGACGCUGAGACGCGAAAGCGUGGGGAGCAAACAGGAUUAGAUACCCCGGUAGUC